rnacentral:rRNA from 1 species
AUAUUAUUACGCGGAGGAAAAGAAACUAACAAGGAUUCCCCUAGUAACGGCGAGUGAAGCGGCAACAGCUCAAAUUUGAAAUCUGGCCCCAGGCCCGAGUUGUAAUUUGUAGAGGAUGCUUUUGGUGCGGUACUUUCCGAGUUCCCUGGAACGGGACGCCUUAGAGGGUGAGAGCCCCGUAUAGAUGGACGCCGAGCCUCUGUAAUGCUCCUUCGACGAGUCGAGUAGUUUGGGAAUGCUGCUCAAAAUGGGAGGUAAAUUUCUUCUAAAGCUAAAUACCGGCCAGAGACCGAUAGCGCACAAGUA